rnacentral:lncRNA from 10 species
UUCUGAAGCUGCUGACAUCGGGUCAGCCCUCAACACCAUCACCUUUGGCCAUGUUCAGGAAGUACUCAAAGAUCAUGGCUCAAAAGUCUGCAGAGCAGAGACAAGAGAUUGACAAAGAGGUGUUGAUGAGUGAGAUGUUACUGUUCUGCUCUGGAGAAGAUACUGUCAGAUAAUGUCCCGCAUUUCCAUCAGCUGGCAUGCAUGCCUUUGGACUCGGACAGGGUUCUUUGGAUUGUAGCUGAAUUUUCAAUGUUUAGUCAAUAUGGAUCUGAUCUCCGCAUGAUCUUUUUUGUGAAUGCCAAGGGCAAUAAAAGCAAAGGUGGCUU